rnacentral:rRNA from 1 species
CACUCCUGCGGGAGGCAGCAGUGGGGAAUUUUGGACAAUGGGCGAAAGCCUGAUCCAGCAAUGCCGCGUGAGUGAAGAAGGCCUUCGGGUUGUAAAGCUCUUUUGUCAGGGAAGAAACGGUGAGAGCUAAUAUCUUUUGCUAAUGACGGUACCUGAAGAAUAAGCACCGGCUAACUACGUGCCAGCAGCCGCGGUAAUACGUAGGGUGCAAGCGUUAAUCGGAAUUACUGGGCGUAAAGCGUGCGCAGGCGGUUUUGUAAGUCUGAUGUGAAAUCCCCGGGCUCAACCUGGGAAUUGCAUUGGAGACUGCAAGGCUAGAAUCUGGCAGAGGGGGGUAGAAUUCCACGUGUAGCAGUGAAAUGCGUAGAUAUGUGGAGGAACACCGAUGGCGAAGGCAGCCCCCUGGGUCAAGAUUGACGCUCAUGCACGAAAGCGUGGGGAGCAAACAGGAUUAGAAACCCGGGUAGUCCCAU